AUGCCAAGGUGGUGUUUCGGUUACAUGGUUUUAAGGUCUCAACGACAGAGCAUUUAGUAAUAGAGCUUUUUGCCAUGUUAAUUAAAUACCUCAUAGUUUCUAUGAAGAUUUCAAUUGAUUUCUUGGGUUUAUUUGUAAUCAAAGUGUAAAGUUGUUGGUGACAUGCCAUCAAAUGAUAGUGCAAAGAAGACUUUUAGUUUCAUGGAAAAGAAAGAAUAGGAUAAACAAAAUAAAGAAUUUAUGAAUUGGACCAGAAAUCCAUUUUUUGGGUAUAUAUUCUAUGUUAUAAAUUCAAUUAUUGGUGAUGUUUGAUUUGAUGACUCUGUCGGAUUAUUUUGGUGGAUUCAAUUUUUUGGGUUUAUUAUCAUAUGAAUCUUAUUGUGUCGACAUUUUUCUGUAAAGCUGUUAAAUUCUGACUUAGUUCUGU
rnacentral:misc_RNA from 1 species